AAGACUGCUCUGGAAAAUGCGAACACGGGCGUAUCUGUAAUCAUGACAGUGUCCGCAGAAGUCCUGUUAAUUUCAUGCAUAUCGCUUCUCCACUUUCCCCUUCUGCAACUGUCCCGGUUUCCCAUGGUCCACAUUGUCUGAACUACAAUACCCAGAAGAGAUGGCUCAUACACCUUUAAUUCCAGCACUUGAGAGGCAGAGACAAAUGGAUCUUGGAGUUCAAGGCUAACUUUCUCUACAGAGCAAUUUCCAGUAAUACACAAGAAACCCUUUUACUAAAAGAAAAACAAGGUUGGAAGGUAGGAGCGGAGAUAGGUUUUGUCUUCUGACAUCUGGACAAGUCUGAAAUCUGCUGCCUUAGUGUGACUGAUUCUAAGCCUUAAGUAGGAAUGCCUCUAUUCAUGAGCCUCUCAGGUCAGCUGGGUCAGCUGGGCUGCAAACUCUUGAUGCAGAUGAGAUGGUACAUGGUCCCCGGUCUACUGAUGUUACAGAACCCUGGGGUCUGGAUAAUGAGCCCAGGCACAGGGCUGAUGUCCCUGAUAGCAAUCCAGUCCUAGAAGGUUGUUUUUAUUGUUUUUAUUUUUACUCUCCUGAAGAUUGUAUUUCCUUUCUGUGCCAGUACUACUCCUGUAAACAUGUGAACAUUACUAAGAUACUCCAGACUUUCUGCAAGCAAUGUGGCAAGCACCAGCUCCACAAAGUGGUACAGUAUAAGAUGGACAAGGAUUCUUUGUCCAAGGAAAGUGGCCUCACAACAGAACAGAGUGACAAUAGUCAGAUGUAGCCUGCUCUUUGCCUAAAGGCUGAAAUAGCAUCUAGUGCUUUUAACUGCUGAGCAAUCACUCCAGCCCUUCUUGGAUUUUGUUUUUUUUCUUUUGUUACCCUUUGAUUCAAGCCAGGACAACGAGUGACAAAACAAGUUUCAAUGACUAAAUUGAAGUCCCCUAUGUUACAUAUAUUAAAUAUCCUGCCACAUUGAUGUGAAAGGUAACUGAUACAGCUUUCAUAGCUAUCAGCCCUUCUUUAGAACUGUUUGUAUCCCAAGGGUCCUUUUUCCUUUCUUCUCUCUCUCUCUCUCUCUCUUCCUUCCUUCCGUCCCCUCUUCCUUCCUUCCUUCCUUCCUUCCUUCCUUCCUUCCUUCUUGAAAUCGGGUAUCUUUAUAUGUCCUUGGCUGCCUGUGAACUAUAUGAAAAUCUGCAGGCUGGCCUUGAACCUACAGCGCCACAUUGUCCCUCCAUACAUGGUAUUUUCAUUUACAUUGGAAUUUAAGAAUUUUUAGAUUUUCCUCCUGAUGUUUUUCUUUGCAUACUUUGUAGAUUUUAGUUUUACUUGACUGUUACAUGAGUAGAUACAAGUAAUAAUUUUGAUUGUUUUGUAUUUUUGAAGAUACCUUUUAUGGUGGGAGUAGUGGUGUACAUCUUUAAUCCCAGGGCUUGGGAGGCAGAGGUAGGUGGAACUUUGUGAUUUCCAGGCCAGCCAGGUCUGUUGCAGAGAACCCUGUCUUAAACAAAGCAAAGCAAAGCAAAGCAAAGCAAAGC
rnacentral:lncRNA from 1 species